AAACCAACCAACCCCAGAACACCGAUGCAUAAGCGCCGAAAGCAAUCCCAGGUGGUUGUGACUCAGAGCACUGGAAACAGGAGCACUUGGUGCUGCCGAAAGCAAACGAUGAAAAGAAUAUGGUGGGUUAACAAGAUGAUCGCCCGAACAAAAGCAACACCUAAUUCUGUACACAGCACUUCUCUCGGCUCUACUUCCUGUACUUCCACACUUCUGCUAAAACUGUGCCUCGCAGAUGCCCAGCGGAGUCGGGAGUCAAGACCCACUCGCCGCCCCAGCCCCGCCUCACCUCCUCCCCUUCUACUCGGACGAUGAGCAGCUCUAAGACACAUGAAGGCAGGCAAUGACUCGGGUUCAUGAUUUUCCGUGGCUGCCCUAUAUCCUUUACUGUGUUCCACCGACUCCUGCAGUGAGAAGCCCCCGUAAAUACACCGGAUUCAACCCAUCUCCCGAGAGCGCGCUCCAGGGCCGGGUCUUUGGCGAAGCCAGACCCUCAGCAGUCUCAAGUCAGAGCUUCCGGAAAACCUGCCAGGAGUCGGGUCUGAAGACGAAAGCUAGCAGCUGGGAAACGAACACCUGGCAAGGGUACCAGAGAAGGAAUUAAGUUCUUACAAGGAAGGCUGGCCUUGAACUCUGACAGCCCCUCUAAUUCUAAGGUUUUGUGAUUCUAUAAAACUUCUAGUAAAAUAGUCUUAAGACAUA